rnacentral:rRNA from 1 species
CAGCAGCCGCGGUAAUACAGAGGGUGCGAGCGUUAAUCGGAUUUACUGGGCGUAAAGCGUGCGUAGGCGGCUUCUUAAGUCGGAUGUGAAAUCCCUGAGCUUAACUUAGGAAUUGCAUUCGAUACUGGGAAGCUAGAGUAUGGGAGAGGAUGGUAGAAUUCCAGGUGUAGCGGUGAAAUGCGUAGAGAUCUGGAGGAAUACCGAUGGCGAAGGCAGUUAUCUGGCCUAAUACUGACGCUGAGGUACGAAAGCAUGGGGAGCAAACAGGAUUAGAUACCCCCGUAGUCCCUGUCUCUUAUAC